GCCAGGUGUGGUGGUGCGCACCUGUAGUCCUAACUACUCGGGAGGCUGAGGUAGAAGAAUUGCUUGAACCCAGGAGGCAGAGGUUGCAGUGAGCCAAGAUCACGCCACUGCACUCCAGCCUGGGUGACAGAGCAAGACUCUGUCUCAA
rnacentral:sRNA from 1 species